rnacentral:rRNA from 1 species
AUACGGAGGGUGCAAGCGUUGUCCGGAUUUAUUGGGUUUAAAGGGUGCGUAGGCGGUGCGCUAAGUCAGUGGUGAAAUCCCGCAGCUCAACUGCGGAACUGCCAUUGAUACUGGCGCACUUGAGUACGGACGAGGUAGGCGGAAUUUAUGGUGUAGCGGUGAAAUGCAUAGAUACCAUAAAGAACACCGAUAGCGAAGGCAGCUUACUAGACCGUAACUGACGCUCAGGCACGAAAGCGUGGGGAGCGAACAGGAUUAGAAACCCUAGUAGUCC